AGGUUAUGUCCCUUACUAAUCUUAGUAGUACAUCAUUUUUGUGUUACUACUAUUUAUUUUUAAUUAUUUGAUGUUUUAUAACACAUCAUUUUCAACAACUAAUAAAAAAAAAAAAAAAAAAAAAUUGUCCAAAUUUGUUUGGAGUGAAUAAUUUAAUUUUGUGAUUUGGGCAUGCAGGUGUUAUAAAUUUGAAGUUAAGGUGCAAUGGGUUAUGAGAAGCUUGACGUGAAGAUUGUGGUGGUUGGUCAUGUGGAUUCUGAGAAAUCAACCAACAGUACUGAGGAACCCAACAAGGCUGUUGUUGUGGAGGAGAACCAAGCUGAUGAGAUGAAUUAAUGUUAUAUGAGGUCCUUUAAUGAUCUCAGUGUGCAAAAAAGGGUACUAGAAAAUUAGUAAUGUUGAAAGAAAUAAAUAAUCUGGUACC
rnacentral:lncRNA from 1 species